rnacentral:lncRNA from 1 species
AUGGGGCCACCGCUGCAAUGUGCGAACAGGGGCAGCCACAAGGAGGGAACACAGCAGAGCUGCACCAUCAGAUGCUGCUGCGCCCACCACCUCGGCUCACCCCCGAGUCCCCGGCACGUCUGGCACGCAAAGGCUGGCCUCAGGUUUCUUGAAAGGCUUGUGAUUUUCUGCCCUGAGUUGCCAUCCAAAUGGCACUCCCCCAGCCGACUAAAAGGAUCUGACAGAUGUGAGCAAGAGCGAAGGUAAGGAGAACUUUUGAGUUACAGCCAAGUUAACUGGGCAGAGAGGAUAAAUGUGAAGUAUCGUAGCAGAAGCAGUGUCAGGAAACAGAAGACUAAUAAUAAAACUUUUGCAGUUAUUAGCCCA